rnacentral:rRNA from 1 species
GCGCACGCAGGCGGUCUGUCAAGUCAGAUGUGAAAUCCCCGGGCUUAACCUGGGAACUGCAUUUGAAACUGGCAGACUAGAGUCUUGUAGAGGGGGGUAGAAUUCCAGGUGUAGCGGUGAAAUGCGUAGAGAUCUGGAGGAAUACCGGUGGCGAAGGCGGCCCCCUGGACAAAGACUGACGCUCAGGUGCGAAAGCGUGGGGAGCAAACAGGAUUAGAUACCCUGGUAGUCCACGCCGUAAACGAUGUCGACUUGGAGGUUGUGCCCUUGAGGCGUGGCUUCCGGAGCUAACGCGUUAAGUCGACCGCCUGGGGAGUACGGCCGCAAGGUUAAAACUCAAAUGAAUUGACGGGGGCCCGCACAAGCGGUGGAGCAUGUGGUUUAAUUCGAUGCAACGCGAAGAACCUUACCU